rnacentral:rRNA from 1 species
UGGUGGAGUGAUUUGUCUGGUUAAUUCCGAUAACGAACGAGACCUUAACCUGCUAAAUAGUCAGGCCGGCUUUUGCUGGUCGCCGACUUCUUAGAGGGACUAUCAGCUUUUAGCUGAUGGAAGUUUGAGGCAAUAACA